rnacentral:rRNA from 1 species
UNUGACUUGAGUGCAGAAGGGGAGAGUGGAAUUCCAUGUGUAGCGGUGAAAUGCGUAGAUAUAUGGAGGAACACCAGUGGCGAAAGCGGCUCUCUGGUCUGUCACUGACGCUGAGGCUCGAAAGCGUGGGUAGCGAACAGGAUUAGAUACCCUGGUAGUCCACGCCGUAAACGAUGAGUGCUAGGUGUUAGGCCCUUUCCGGGGCUUAGUGCCGGAGCUAACGCAAUAAGCACUCCGCCUGGGGAGUACGACCGCAAGGUUGAAACUCAAAGGAAUUGACGGGGGCCCGCACAAGCGGUGGAGCAUGUGGUUUAAUUCGAAGCAACGCGAAGAACCUUACCAGGUCUUGACAUCCCGAUGCUAUUCUUAGAGAUAGGAAGUUACUUCGGUACAUCGGAGACAGGUGGUGCAUGGUUGUCGUCAGCUCGUGUCGUGAGAUGUUGGGUUAAGUCCCGCAACGAGCGCAACCCUUAUUGUUAGUUGCCAUCAUUAAGUUGGGCACUCUAGCGAGACUGCCGGUAAUAAACCGGAGGAAGGUGGGGAUGACGUCAAAUCAUCAUGCCCCUUAUGACCUGGGCUACACACGUGCUACAAUGGUCGGUACAACGAGUUGCGAGCCGGUGACGGCAAGCUAAUCUCUGAAAGCCGAUCUCAGUUCGGAUUGGAGGCUGCAACUCGCCUCCAUGAAGUCGGAAUCGCUAGUAAUCGCGGAUCAGCACGCCGCGGUGAAUACGUUCCCGGGCCUUGUACACACCGCCCGUCACACCACGAGAGUUUGUAACACCCGAAGUCGGUGAGGUAACCUUUUAGGGGCCAGCCGCCUAAGG